AUUGAACGCUGGCGGCAGGCCUAACACAUGCAAGUCGAGCGGAUGAGGAAAGCUUGCUUUUCGAUUCAGCGGCGGACGGGUGAGUAAUGCCUAGGAAUCUGCCUGGUAGUGGGGGAUAACGUUCCGAAAGGAACGCUAAUACCGCGUACGUCCUACGGGAGAAAGCAGGGGACCUUCGGGCCUUGCACUAUCAGAUGAGCCUAGGUCGGAUUAGCUAGUUGGUGAGGUAAUGGCUCACCAAGGCGACGAUCCGUAACUGGUCUGAGAGGAUGAUCAGUCACACUAGAACUGAGACACGGUCCAGACUCCUACGGGAGGCAGCAGUGGGGAAUAUUGGACAAUGGGCGAAAGCCUGAUCCAGCCAUGCCGCGUGUGUGAAGAAGGUCUUCGGAUUGUAAAGCACUUUAAGUUGGGAGGAAGGGCAGUAAGUUAAUACCUUGCUGUUUUGACGUUACCGACAGAAUAAGCACCGGCUAACUUCGUGCCAGCCGCCGCCGUAAAAC
rnacentral:rRNA from 1 species